GAUGAACGCUGACAGAAUGCUUAACACAUGCAAGUCAUUGGCGAAGCUGCGCUUGCGCAGUCUAGCCAAGGCGGACGGGUGAGUAACGCGUAAGGUACUUGCCCUGCAGACAGGGAUAACAGACGGAAACGACUGAUAACACCUGGUAUUGUCAGGCUGGCGCAUGCCGGCCUGAUGAAAGGAGACGCUGCAGGAGAGCCUUGCGUCCUAUUAGCUAGUUGGUGGGGUAACGGCCCACCAAGGCGAUGAUAGGUAGCCGGCCUGAGAGGGUGAACGGCCACAAGGGGACUGAGAUACGGCCCUUACUCCUACGGGAGGCAGCAGUGGGGAAUAUUGGACAAUGGGGGCAACCCUGAUCCAGCAAUUCUGUGUGCACGAAGAAGGUUUUCGGAUUGUAAAGUGCUUUCAGCAGGGAAGAAGAAAGUGACGGUACCUGCAGAAGAAGCGACGGCUAAAUACGUG
rnacentral:rRNA from 1 species